UCUACGGGAGGCAGCAGUGAGGAAUAUUGGUCAAUGGGCGCGAGCAUGAACCAGCCAAGUAGCGUGAAGGAUGACUGCCCUACGGGUUGUAAACUGCUUUUAUAAAGGAAUAAAGUGAGGCACGUGUGCCUUUUUGUAUGUACUUUAUGAAUAAGGAUCGGCUAACUCCGUGCCAGCAGCCGCGGUAAUACGGAGGAUCCGAGCGUUAUCCGGAUUUAUUGGGUUUAAAGGGAGCGUAGAUGGGUUGUUAAGUCAGUUGUGAAAGUUUGCGGCUCAACCGUAAAAUUGCAAUUGAUACUGGCAGUCUUGAGUACAGUUGAGGUAGGCGGAAUUCGUGGUGUAGCGUUGAAAUGCUUAGAUAUCACGAAGAACUCCGAUUGCGAAGGCAGCUUACUAAACUGCCACUGACAUUGAUGCUCGAAAGUGUGGGUAUCAAACAGGAUUAGAUACCCCGGUAGUC
rnacentral:rRNA from 1 species